rnacentral:rRNA from 1 species
UACGGGAGGCAGCAGUGGGGAAUAUUGCACAAUGGGCGCAAGCCUGAUGCAGCCAUGCCGCGUGUAUGAAAAAAGCCUUCGGGUUGUAAAGUACUUUCAGUCGUGAGGAAGGUGUUAAGGUUAAUAACCUUAGCAAUUGACGUUAGCGACAGAAGAAGCACCGGCUAACUCCGUGCCAGCAGCCGCGGUAAUACGGAGGGUGCGAGCGUUAAUCGGAAUUACUGGGCGUAAAGGGCACGCAGGCGGUUAAUUAAGUUGGAUGUGAAAUCCCCGGGCUUAACCUGGGAAUGGCAUUCAAGACUGGUUAGCUAGAGUCUUGUAGAGGGGGUAGAAUUCCAUGUGUAGCGGUGAAAUGCGUAGAGAUGUGGAGGAAUACCGGUGGCGAAGGCGGCCCCUGGACAAAAGGACUGACGCUCAUGUGCGAAAGCGUGGGGAGCAAACAGGGAUUAGAUACC